GAUAGAAUGGCCGAGCUUAGGCGAUAGAUUGUAAAUCUAUUUACGGGAAUUCCCUUCUGUUU
rnacentral:tRNA from 1 species